rnacentral:misc_RNA from 1 species
GGGGAUAUAAGCAGAGGAGAAUACAAUCAUGGCCCAAAGGAUGUCCUGAGGCACACUCACAGUUUAAGCAAUGUACACAGACAUGGAAGCACUACUUCUCCAUGGCUCUUGAUACAAAAGCCAAAUAAUGCAUUGACUAUUGAAGUACAAGACGACUGAGUAGUUAAUGCACUCUGCAUUAAUGGCUAUUGAAGAAACUACUACUACAACAACACAUUCAGUGUAAUGCCACGAGCGAAAUUUGGAGAGGAGGCUGUAUUUGUAACCUUAUUCCAAACUUGAGAAGAUAGAGAGGAUGUUUCCGACAGAUCCUCA